rnacentral:ncRNA from 2 species
ACGUAGUUUCAAGGUCGGGUGAGAUUCCCUACCGGCGGUAACUGGGGUGAGGCGCGCCGCGCCCUCUCGGAAGCCCGCGACCCACGCAGGUGGCUGAUCCGGUGCAAGUCCGGAGCCGACGGUACAGUCCGGAUGAGAGAAACGGAGA